ensembl:lncRNA
CGAGACACCGGCCUGUCCUCCAGGAGAGACAGUCCACACGGGAAGAGCUCGACUCGCUCCCGGCAUUCAGCUCCACCUCGAGCUCUUCAAAGGCACCAAGGACUGGCCGAGAGAGGAGCAAACGUAACGACAAACUUUCCUCCAGAGUCCAGAGAGGAGGACCAAUCAGACGCCAGCAGAUGAAGCCACCCAAUCCGCGACCCAAUCGGCUGAAAACCAGAAAGUUCUACAGGAAGCACGCAAUGUCCCAGCAUCUAUCUCACACAAUGCACAUACGAUGAUGAUGCCAUCUUGGAACCCUCUUAGACCUGAUGAAAAGGUGGUACUUCCUGAACAGGCUUUCGUGAGAAUUAAAAGAGUUAAUAAAGAUGAGACACAAGCAAAAGGAGGAACAUAGAGUUGGUGUCCAAAAGAUCUGCUGCC